GUGGGUAGUUUGACUGGGGCGGUCUCCUCCUAAAGAGUAACGGAGGAGCACGAAGGUUGGCUAAUCCUGGUCGGACAUCAGGAGGUUAGUGCAAUGGCAUAAGCCAGCUUGACUGCGAGCGUGACGGCGCGAGCAGGUGCGAAAGCAGGUCAUAGUGAUCCGGUGGUUCUGAAUGGAAGGGCCAUCGCUCAACGGAUAAAAGGUACUCCGGGGAUAACAGGCUGAUACCGCCCAAGAGUUCAUAUCGACGGCGGUGUUUGGCACCUCGAUGUCGGCUCAUCACAUCCUGGGGCUGAAGUAGGUCCCAAGGGUAUGGCUGUUCGCCAUUUAAAGUGGUACGCGAGCUGGGUUUAGAACGUCGUGAGACAGUUCGGUCCCUAUCUGCCGUGGGCGCUGGAGAACUGAGGGGGGCUGCUCCUAGUACGAGAGGACCGGAGUGGACGCAUCACUGGUGUUCGGGUUGUCAUGCCAAUGGCACUGCCCGGUAGCUAAAUGCGGAAGAGAUAAGUGCUGAAAGCAUCUAAGCACGAAACUUGCCCCGAGAUGAGUUCUCCCUGAGACUUUAGGUCUCCUGAAGGAACGUUGAAGACGACGACGUUGAUAGGCCGGGUGUGUAAGCGCAGCGAUGCGUUGAGCUAACCGGUACUAAUGAACCGUGAGG
rnacentral:rRNA from 2 species